rnacentral:rRNA from 1 species
CUAAGGCGAGGCCGAAAGGCGUAGUCGAUGGGAAACAGGUUAAUAUUCCUGUACUUGGUGUUACUGCGAAGGGGGGACGGAGAAGGCUAUGUUGGCCGGGCGACGGUUGUCCCGGUUUAAGCGUGUAGGCUGGUUUUCCAGGCAAAUCCGGAAAAUCAAGGCUGAGGCGUGAUGACGAGGCACUACGGUGCUGAAGCAACAAAUGCCCUGCUUCCAGGAAAAGCCUCUAAGCAUCAGGUAACAUCAAAUCGUACCCCAAACCGACACAGGUGGUCAGGUAGAGAAUACCAAGGCGCUUGAGAGAACUCGGGUGAAGGAACUAGGCAAAAUGGUGCCGUAACUUCGGGAGAAGGCACGCUGAUAUGUAGGUGAAGUCCCUUGCGGAUGGAGCUGAAAUCAGUCGAAGAUACCAGCUGGCUGCAACUGUUUAUUAAAAACACAGCACUGUGCAAACACGAAAGUGGACGUAUACGGUGUGACGCCUGCCCGGUGCCGGAAGGUUAAUUGAUGGGGUCAGCGCAAGCGAAGCUCUUGAUCGAAGCCCCGGUAAACGGCGGCCGUAACUAUAACGGUCCUAAGGUAGCGAAAUUCCUUGUCGGGUAAGUUCCGACCUGCACGAAUGGCGUAAUGAUGGCCAGGCUGUCUCCACCCGAGACUCAGUGAAAUUGAACUCGCUGUGAAGAUGCAGUGUACCCGCGGCAAGACGGAAAGACCCCGUGAACCUUUACUAUAGCUUGACACUGAACAUUGAGCCUUGAUGUGUAGGAUAGGUGGGAGGCUUUGAAGUGUGGACGCCAGUCUGCAUGGAGCCGGCCUUGAAAUACCACCCUUUAAUGUUUGAUGUUCUAACGUGGACCCGUGAUCCGGGUUGCGGACAGUGUCUGGUGGGUAGUUUGACUGGGGCGGUCUCCUCCUAAAGAGUAACGGAGGAGCACGAAGGUUGGCUAAUCCUGGUCGGACAUCAGGAGGUUAGUGCAAUGGCAUAAGCCAGCUUGACUGCGAGCGUGACGGCGCGAGCAGGUGCGAAAGCAGGUCAUAGUGAUCCGGUGGUUCUGAAUGGAAGGGCCAUCGCUCAACGGAUAAAAGGUACUCCGGGGAUAACAGGCUGAUACCGCCCAAGAGUUCAUAUCGACGGCGGUGUUUGGCACCUCGAUGUCGGCUCAUCACAUCCUGGGGCUGAAGUAGGUCCCAAGGGUAUGGCUGUUCGCCAUUUAAAGUGGUACGCGAGCUGGGUUUAGAACGUCGUGAGACAGUUCGGUCCCUAUCUGCCGUGGGCGCUGGAGAACUGAGGGGGGCUGCUCCUAGUACGAGAGGACCGGAGUGGACGCAUCACUGGUGUUCGGGUUGUCAUGCCAAUGGCACUGCCCGGUAGCUAAAUGCGGAAGAGAUAAGUGCUGAAAGCAUCUAAGCACGAAACUUGCCCCGAGAUGAGUUCUCCCUGACCCUUUAAGGGUCCUGAAGGAACGUUGAAGACGACGACGUUGAUAGGCCGGGUGUGUAAGCGCAGCGAUGCGUUGAGCUAACCGGUACUAAUGAACCGUGAGGCUUAACCUUACAACGCCGAAG